rnacentral:rRNA from 1 species
AUUGAACGCUGGCGGCAUGCCUUACACAUGCAAGUCGAACGGCAGCACGGGAGCAAUCCUGGUGGCGAGUGGCGAACGGGUGAGUAAUAUAUCGGAACGUGCCCAGUCGUGGGGAUAACGUAGCGAAAGCUACGCUAAUACCGCAUACGAUCUAUGGAUGAAAGCGGGGGAUCGCAAGACCUCGCGCGAUUGGAGCGGCCGAUAUCAGAUUAGGUAGUUGGUGAGGUAAAGGCUCACCAAGCCGACGAUCUGUAGCUGGUCUGAGAGGACGACCAGCCACACUGGGACUGAGACACGGCCCAGACUCCUACGGGAGGCAGCAGUGGGGAAUUUUGGGACAAUGGGCGCAAGCCUGAUCCAGCAAUGCCGCGUGCAGGAUGAAGGCCUUCGGUUGUAACGUGACUUUGUUACGGUAACGAAAGGUACGU